CACAAGCUUGGAGAAAUAGGAUGGCUGGUGUGAAAAGAAGAAAACAAACAGUGAGUUUAGGAGCUGUUGGAGUGAUAAAUUAUUUUGAACUAAUUCUAAGGGCUAUUGGGAAAUGACUGUUGAAAAUUAUUUUUGCAGGCUCAUAGGCUUCUGGAUGAGCUAGAUGGUGCCGCUCAAGAUCCACUUGAAACCUAGAAGUAGAGGCUGUUGGAACACUAGCAAAGCAUAUGUGCAAGCCUGUUUUGCUGUGUUUUUGAGAAAUGCAGAUUAGCAUAUUUUUUGGUUGAAACAAUAGCAGUUCAAGCCUGU
rnacentral:lncRNA from 1 species